UACGUAGGGGGCAAGCGUUAUCCGGAAUCAUUGGGCGUAAAGCGCGUGUAGGCGGUUCCGUAAGUCCGCUCUGAAAGCCCAGGGCUCAACCCUGGGAGGCGGGUGGAUACUACGGAACUGGAGUACGGAAGAGGAGAUUGGAAUUCCUGGUGUAGCGGUGAAAUGCGCAGAUAUCAGGAGGAACACCGGUGGCGAAGGCGCCACUCUGGGCCGGAACUGACGCUGAGGAGCGAAAGCGUGGGUAGUAAACAGG
rnacentral:rRNA from 1 species